UUCACCUUUCACACGGGGUGAGGCGCCACGGGCAGCUCGCGAAGGCGCCGCCGCCGUGGCCGUUCACCGCCCCCGCCACGGCACUUGCUCGGGUGGCCGCUGCAGGAAGCUCAACAGCAGCGCCGCGGCGCUUCCAGGCUUCCAACAAUCCUUCAUACUAUUAGUGGUGGGCACUGAAAUGCACUUCUCAGAUCCCCUUCAGGGAUGAAUGACUUAUUACACACGCAGCUGGGAGGGUUGCCCACGGACAGCCAUCAGCUGUCAACCCCAUUCUGACACUACCCAGUGUCACACCCCUUCCCAAGGAGGCCACACCCAAUGACUGAUGGAUUCAGAGCCAUUAACAGUAUCCAUCACAGGAAUGUUGGAAUGCCCAGCCCUUUCACCUCAACUCAGGAUAAUUCUGAUGGAUCAUUCCCAUCUCCAGAACAACCUGUAUCAGCCAAGGAUCACAGAAUACUGAAGAUGGAAUAAACUUCAAGGUCAUCUAAUUCAGUGGUUUGUACAAUAUUUCCCAAAGCACUGGCAUUCCUUUUACAAACACAAUCUUACAUCAGAAUCCAAUACUUAACCCAAAUAAAAGAUGACCUGGGAAUUCACAAACACUGACAUCUCCCUCAGUCUCUUACCAUGGCAUGUAUGACACUGCCUCAAAACAUGUUUAGAAAACAAUUGAUGUAGUUUUUUUAUUCAUUCUUUCAAUUAACAUGCCAGGAUCUAUACACAGUGCUGCAGAUAUAAUAGUGAACAAAGCAAGCAUAGACUCAACUCUUAACCAAGGCUGCAGUUUCAGGAGGGAGGCUGAUAUUCAAGUAAUAAGCAUACAAAUACUGCACACAUAAAUUCAAAGUAAGUACCAUGAACUGAAUAAGUUAAUAUGCCCAAAAGUAUACAUGCUAAAGUUUUUAGAUAGAAGGAUAAAGGAGGUAUUCCUGAGGAAGUAACAUUUAGGCUGAGUAAGACCCAAACAAAGUAUGAAUACAGACUGAGGAAUUAGUAAGGCAGAGUGUGGGAAAAACAUUCCAGAGAAAGAGGAGUUGAUGCAAAGCCCCCUGUGAGGAUAGAACUUUUUGUUCACUUACACAACUACCACUGUUGCUGUGUCCAGAGAUGAGCCUUUUUUUCUGCAUACAUUAUAAAUCUGAUAUGAAAUAAUGUACACUAAUUUCUUUCAUUAGAUCAUAUGUUCCAUGUCAUCAA